CUGAGGCUGAUAGAGAUACUGUGCUUCACUCGGCCAUUAGGAGAGAGCACCUACAUUUGGCAUUCUACAUUAUCAAAAAGUGCCCACAGCUUUCGCACGAAUUCAAUACGAAGGGAGUGAGUCCUCUUGAGCUGCUGGCCAGAACACCUUCCCUGUUUAGAAGUAGCUACAACCUUUCCUGGUGGAAACAUAUCAUAUACUUCUGUAUACAAGUUGAUCCACUGAAGUAUGAUCCCAAUUUUACUUCUAAAACAAGUCCAGAUCGUAAAAGCUCCCACAUUUUUUGUCCGCCUUCUGCCCAUAAAAGGCAAGGUAUGUUGCAUGCAUCGUAAGAGGGCACCGAACUCCCCUUCCUUCU